rnacentral:rRNA from 1 species
CCUACGGGAGACAGCAGUGGGGAAUAUUGCACAAUGGGGGAAACCCUGAUGCAGCGACGCCGCGUGGGUGACGAAGUAUUUCGGUAUGUAAAGCCCUAUCAGCAGGGAAGAAGAUGACAGUACCUGACCAAGAAGCCCCGGCUAACUACGUGCCAGCAGCCGCGGUAAUACGUAGGGGGCAAGCGUUAUCCGGAUUUACUGGGUGUAAAGGGAGCGUAGGUGGCAUGGCAAGCCAGAAGUGAAAACCCGGGGCUUAACCCCGCGGAUUGCUUUUGAAACUGUCAGGCUGGAGUGCAGGAGGGGCAGGCGGAAUUCCUGGUGUAGCGGUGAAAUGCGUAGAUAUCAGGAGGAACACCGGUGGCGAAGGCGGCCUGCUGGACUGUAACUGACGCUGAGGCUCGAAAGCGUGGGGAGCAAAUAGGAUUAGAUACCCGAGUAGUC